GACGAACGCUGGCGGCGUGCCUAAUACAUGCAAGUUGAGCGCUGAAGGUUGGUACUUGUACCAACUGGAUGAGCAGCGAACGGGUGAGUAACGCGUGGGGAAUCUGCCUUUGAGCGGGGGACAACAUUUGGAGACGAAUGCUAAUACCGCAUAAAAACUUUAAACACAAGUUUUAAGUUUGAAAGAUGCAAUUGCAUCACUCAAAGAUGAUCCCGCGUUGUAUUAGCUAGUUGGUGAGGUAAAGGCUCACCAAGGCGAUGAUACAUAGCCGACCUGAGAGGGUGAUCGGCCACAUUGGGACUGAGACACGGCCCAAACUCCUACGGGAGGCAGCAGUAGGGAAUCUUCGGCAAUGGACGAAAGUCUGACCGAGCAACGCCGCGUGAGUGAAGAAGGUUUUCGGAUCGUAAAACUCUGUUGGUAGAGAAGAACGUUGGUGAGAGUGGAAAGCUCAUCAAGUGACGGUAACUACCCAGAAAGGGACGGCUAACUACGU
rnacentral:rRNA from 1 species